CCUACGGGUGGCAGCAGUGGGGAAUAUUGCACAAUGGGGGAAACUCUGAUGCAGCGACGCCGCGUGAGUGAAGAAGUCUUUCGGUACGUAAAGCUCUAUCAGCAGGGAAGAAAAUGACGGUACCUGACUAAGAUGCUCCGGCUAACUCCGCUCCAGCAGCCGCGGUAAUAUGUAGGGGGCAAGCGUUAUCCGGAUUUACUGGGUGUAAAGGGAGCGUAGGUGGGAUGGUAAGCCAGGAGUGAAAACCCAGGGCUCAACUCUGUGGAUUGCUUUUGGAACUAUCGAGCUAGAGUGCUGGAGGGGUAAGCGGAAUUCCUAGUGUAGCGGUGAAAUGCGUAGAUAUUAGGAAGAACACCGGUGGCGAAGGCGGCUUACUGGACAGAAACUGACGCUGAGGCUCGAAAGCGUGGGGAGCAAACAGGAUUAGAUACCCGGGUAGUC
rnacentral:rRNA from 1 species